rnacentral:rRNA from 1 species
AUGGUGGGGACACUGUUGGGACCGCCUCUGCUAAAGAGGAGGAAGGAAUGGGCAACGGUAGGUCAGCAUGCCCCGAAUUAUCCGGGCUACACGCGGGCUACAAUGGUCAGGACAAUGGGCAUCAACACCGAAAGGUGAAGGCAAUCUCUUAAACCUGUCCUUAGUUCGGAUUGUGGGCUGCAACUCGCCCACAUGAAGCUGGAAUCUGUAGUAAUCGCGUCUCAAAAUGGCGCGGUGAAUAUGUCCCUGCUCCUU